GGCAACGGCCCGUAGGGUGAGGAGCGAAGCGACGAAUAAUCCUUCCCCCACCACCA
rnacentral:sRNA from 2 species